UCCUGGCUCAGAUUGAACGCUGGCGGCAGGCCUAACACAUGCAAGUCGAGCGGAUGAAAGGGGCUUGCUCCUGGAUUCAGCGGCGGACGGGUGAGUAAUGCGCAGGAAUCUACCUCGUAGUGGGGGAUAACGUUUCGAAAGGAACGCUAAUACCGCAUACGUUCUGAGGAAGAAAGCAGGGGACCUUCGGGCCUUGCGCUAUGAGAUGAGCUUGCGUCCGAUUAGCUAGUUGGUGGGGUAAAGGCCUACCAAGGCGACGAUCGGUAACUGGUCUGAGAGGAUGAUCAGUCACACUGGAACUGAGACACGGUCCAGACUCCUACGGGAGGCAGCAGUGGGGAAUAUUGGACAAUGGGGGCAACCCUGAUCCAGCCAUGCCGCGUGUGUGAAGAAGGCCUUCGGGUUGUAAAGCACUUUAAGCGGGGAGGAAGGGCUUGAGGCUAAUAUCCUUGAGCAUUGACGUUACCCGCAGAAUAAGCACCGGCAAACUUCGUG
rnacentral:rRNA from 1 species